rnacentral:tRNA from 1 species
GGGCCGUUAGCUCAGUUGGCAGAGCACCUGACUUUUAAUCAGGGUGUCGCAGGUUCGAUUCCUGCACGGCCUACCA